rnacentral:rRNA from 1 species
UACGAAGGGGGCUAGCGUUGCUCGGAAUCACUGGGCGUAAAGCGCACGUAGGCGGCUUCUUAAGUCAGGGGUGAAAUCCUGGAGCUCAACUCCAGAACUGCCUUUGAUACUGGCGACCUUGAGUCCGGGAGAGGUGAGUGGAACUGCGAGUGUAGAGGUGAAAUUCGUAGAUAUUCGCAAGAACACCAGUGGCGAAGGCGGCUCACUGGCCCGGUACUGACGCUGAGGUGCGAAAGCGU